AAUGUAGCUUAAACWAAAGCAAUGCACUGAAAAUGCUUAGAUGGGUAUUCUACCCCAUAAACA
rnacentral:tRNA from 1 species